CUCGAAUGAAUUCAAGAACAUAUUCGAAGAAAUUCUGACCCCCGGUCGGAAUGGUUUGUGGGUUCCGAACAGCUAUAGUGGCUGAACCUAAUAAGAUAGCAAUUACAAACCAC